GUGUCAGCCGCCGCGGUAAUACGUAGGGCGCGAGCGUUGUCCGGAAUUAUUGGGCGUAAAGAGCUUGUAGGCGGUUUGUCGCGUCUGCUGUGAAAGGCCGGGGCUUAACCCCGUGUAUUGCAGUGGGUACGGGCAGACUAGAGUGCAGUAGGGGAGACUGGAACUCCUGGUGUAGCGGUGGAAUGCGCAGAUAUCAGGAAGAACACCGAUGGCGAAGGCAGGUCUCUGGGCUGUAACUGACGCUGAGAAGCGAAAGCAUGGGGAGCGAACAGGAUUAGAUACCCCCGUAGUCC
rnacentral:rRNA from 1 species